AGACUCUGCUUGACUAGCUGAGAGGAGGUGCAUGGCCGUCGUCAGUUCGUACUGUGAAGCAUCCUGUUAAGUCAGGCAACGAGCGAGACCCACGCCAACAGUUGCCAGCAUGUCCUCCGGGGAUGAUGGGGACACUGUUGGGACCGCCACUGCUAAAGAGGAGGAAGGAAUGGGCAACGGUAGGUCAGCAUGCCCCGAAUUAUCCGGGCUACACGCGGGCUACAAUGGUCAGGACAAUGGGUAUCGACACCGAGAGGUGGAGGCAAUCUCCUAAACCUGUCCUUAGUUCGGAUUGUGGGCUGCAACUCGCCCACAUGAAGCUGGAAUCCGUAGUAAUCGCGUUUCAAAAUAGCGCGGUGAAUAUGUCCCUGCUCCUU
rnacentral:rRNA from 1 species